rnacentral:lncRNA from 1 species
UCUCAAUUCUCAAAGUCAUAGAUUUUCUCCGAAACGAUUAGUCUAAAGCCAUAUUCUAUAAUAUUCUAAUCACACUUUCAACAAUACUUUUCUCAAUCACAAUUCUUCAUAAGAAAAUAAUAAAAACAAAGAAAAUAAAGAGGUAUCACCAAGCUUACCCUAGCUUAUGACUCUCACAGUCUGGCCCCAAUCUCCCUUUUCUCAACCUCUUUAUCCUACCAAAAGAUGGACCGUCGGCCAGCAGAUUCCAAAGAUUAUGAUCCUUUGAAUUCUUAACCAUUUGUUCCACUAACAACCUAUUGUUACUAACUAAAGUGCCUAACCAUAAGUCUAAUUCUCAAGGUUGUCAAUAACCAACUAGUAACUUACCACAAAAUUUAU